rnacentral:tRNA from 1 species
GGGGUUGUGGCUCAGUGGUAGAGUGCUCCCCUAGAAUGGGUGGGGCCCGGUUCGAUCCUCAGCACCA